rnacentral:ncRNA from 2 species
GUUAAAUAUAUUGUUUUAGGUGCCUUGCAAAAGGAUAAUAGGGAAAGUGGUUAAAAUCCACUACAGCCCCCGCUACUGUAUACGAGGACAAGUCUUUAUACCACUGGUUAUUACAAAUAUCUGGGAAGGAAAGAGGAGGAUGAAACGUAAGUCAGGAAACCUGCCUAAAAUGUAAGCUACAC